GACCCCCCUGAACGUCUUCUUCUUCGCACCAAAAUUCAAACCGCCCACAACCCCCUGAACUCCUAAGCAAAUAUCACCACAGUCGCCAUCCUCCACGAACGACCUCACACUAAACGACCCCUGAUCUCUUCUCCAACUUCCAACACCAAAACUAGCCGCAACUCCCAAAACAACCAGCUCCCCACCCAUCUUCUUCAGAACCAAAACCUAGAGAGAUCACCUCCAGCCGUUACUCCUCUCAAAGCCACAUCUUUCGCCGUCCGCUGUCUCUCACCACCAGGGGCGGAUUUACAUGCUAGUUUUAGGUGCUCAAGCACCCAUUAACCUUGACGUAAAUUAGGUAUAGCUAUAAUAAAAAUAUAAGAAAUAGGAUAUAACAUUUUAGUGAGCACCCAAUAAACAAAAUGACUGAUGGGUGUUGUGGUUCUGAAGUGGGAGUUAAAACCUUUUCUGAAAGCAAAGACCCAGGAACGUAGAGAAGGGAAAAACGAAGAACAAAGUAGACGAAACAAUCAGCAAACUCUCCGGUCAUUCACAACAAUCUCAAAAUCAGAUUAUCAGAACAUAGCACAAGGUUAGUAAUAUUGGUGGGUUGUGCGAUUGAUGAAAUUGUGCUCAUCAACUCAUUGCUUCAGAAAUUUGAAUUCUUCAUCAAUUUUUUGUGUCGAGAUGGAUAAGUUUGUCACAAGAUCAAAAGUUGGGCAACCAAGUUCUAGUUCUACUCAUUCAUCUGUUGCGUCAUCCGUAGCCCCGGAAAUUCAAAGGGAUAUAUCUCUUUCAGAUCAUAAUUUAGGAUCUCCCAAUACUGACCCGGGGGAUAGGAAGUCCAUUGCAGAAUAUAGCCCUAAUAUACGAGAUGAACUUAGAAGACAUUAUAUUCAAAUGGGACCUUGCCAGCCUACGAGUCAUGAUUUUCCUAAAACUAAGUUUGGGAAGACAAUGCGUCAGUUUUAUCCUGGUUGGUUUAAGGUUCAACAUUCAAAGUGGUUGGAGUACAGUAUAUCAAAAGAUGCUGCAUAUUGUUUGUGUUGUUAUUUAUUCAAAAAUGAACAUGUAAUUCAUGGAAAUAUGGGGGAUGCUUUUACAAAAAAUGGCUUUAAAGGUUGGAACAAGGCUAUAGAAAGAUUUUGAGCUCAUGUUGGAGAGGUAAAUAGCAUCCACAACAAGUGUUUCAAUAGGAUGAUUGAUUUAAUGAAUCAAUCACAAUCAAUUCGCACUUCUUUUGAAAAGCAAUCCGAGAAAGAAAAAAGUGAGUCUCGACGUCGCUUGAGUGCUUCAAUCGAUGUGGCUAGGUUUCUUUUGAGACUAGGAUUGCCAUUUCGUGGGCACGAUGAGAGUCAAUCUUCUACAAAUAGAGGUGUCUUUCUUGAACUCUUGCAAUGGUAUGGAGAUAUUGAUCCGGAUAUUGGAAGUAUUAUAUUAGAAAAUGCUCCAAAAAAUGAAAUGAUGUGUUCCCCAAUGAUUCAGAAAGAUAUUGUUGAUGCUUGUGCCAAAGAAGCAAUCAAAGCUAUCAUUGAAGACUUGGAUGGGGAUUUUUUCGGGAUACUAGUUGAUGAAUAAAAGGAUAUAUCACACAAGGAGCAAAUGACACUUGUUUUGAGAUAUGUUAACAAAGAAGGCGAAGUAAUUGAGAGAUUUGUUGGUAUUGUUCAUGUCAAUGAUACAUCUGCUCAAUCAUUGAAGAAGGAAAUCGACUCUUUUCUUUCAUAUCACUCAUUAAGUCCAUCUCAAAUACGUGGGCAAGGUUAUGAUGGAGCUAGUAACAUGCAGGGAGAGCUACGUGGUCUUAAGACUUUGAUUCUGAAUGAAACUCCAUCGGCGUAUUGCAUUCAUUAUUUUCCCCACCAAUUGCAGUUAACACUUGUGGCUCUUGCAAAGAAGCAUUCAGAUGUAGAUGACUUUUUUUGUAUAGUUACUAAUGUGUUAAAUAUUGUUGGAUCAUCUUUUAAGCGCAAGGAUUUGCUUCGACAACAUCAAGCUGAAAAAUUAGAGGAGUUGCUCAUAUCAGGUGAGGUGCAUACUGGACGAGGACUAAAUCAAGAACGUGGGCUUCAACAACCAGGUGAUACUCGUUGGGGUUCUCAUUAUAGAACGUUAAAUAACCUCAUUGUCCUAUUUUCAUCAAUUAUUCAUGUUCUUGAAUUUGUUGCUCGUGAGGGUCCAAAUUAUGCCGAUAGACUUGUUGCUGAAAGCUUUAUGACUAAGAUUAAGGAAUUUGAAUUUGUUUUUA